GGCUAGUCCGAAGGUAGUGAGUUAUCACAAUUGAUUGUUCACAGUCAGUUACAGAUCGAUAUCCCUGUUCUCUCUUCCUCCCACCUUCUCACUACCGUAUUUGACUAGUCUUUU
rnacentral:Y_RNA from 13 species